UACGGAGGGGGUUAGCGUUGUUCGGAAUUACUGGGCGUAAAGCGCACGUAGGCGGAUUGGAUAGUUGGGGGUGAAAUCCCGGGGCUCAACCCUGGAACUGCCUUCAAAACUCCCAGUCUUGAGGUCGAGAGAGGUGAGUGGAAUUCCGAGUGUAGAGGUGAAAUUCGUGGAUAUUCGGAGGAACACCAGCGGCGAAGGCGGCUCACUGGCUCGAUACUGACGCUGAGGUGCGAAAGCGUGGGGAGCAAACAGG
rnacentral:rRNA from 1 species